CACUGAACGUCUCCAUCUUGGCUAUGACGUUGUACUUGAUCACGCACGGCGAACAGAGAGCGUAGAUCGGCCUCCAGUGCUCGUCGAACUUCGAAGACGGAGUGUUAAUAAGAGAUGAAGACGACGGGGGAAGAAGAUGGUAUGCCGACUUGCACUUCUGGCUGACAAUUGUCGUGUGCAAGAUUUUGGCUGUAAUUUGAGAAUUACUGUCUCCCACGGAAAGAGCGACCCACUCGCGCAGAUCCAGCAGCUCCUCCUCGAUCAGCUCCUCGGCGUCAGGUUGAAGCAGGAGCGCCAGGGACACGUACAAGAGCAGAGCCACGACCCACAC